rnacentral:misc_RNA from 1 species
CGGGGCCGUACCUCACCUGGGAGAGCGCGUGCUUUGCAAGCAUGAGGUCGUCGGUUCGAUCCCGUCUGGCUCCACCAGAUGGUUUGAUCACCGAGAUCUUGACCGUCGUCCGCGAAACAUCACUUCGCAUCCUGCUAGUCUGGAUAGACAGCAGUUUGCGUGUUUUCUGACAUCGUAAAGAGGAGAUCGAUCCGAGUUGGGUCGUGCAGCAUAUCGUUGCGCGAGCCUUCAUUAUCUCCGGAUCAUUUCGGCGCUCGCUUCCAGCCGUGAGGUUGGAUGCGGGUUGUAAAUGAUCCUUUUAGCGAAGCUUGACCGCCUCGCUAUCGGAACGAUCUUACGAAGCAAGCUGGUCUUUCUAGUCAAUGUCCGGCUGCGGAUAGCGUUCAUCGAGGGCGCGUGCCGCAGGGCAAUUCUGCAGACAACAUUCUGCCGAGUGUGUGGACAUUGAUAAUGAGAGCAAUCAAGUGCCUUAAGGGUGUUCGGUGGAUGCCUUGGCGCUGAGAGGCGAUGAAGGACGUGCUACGCUGCGAUAAGCCGUGGGGAGCUGCGAAGAAGCUUUGAUCCGCGGAUUUCCGAAUGG